rnacentral:lncRNA from 1 species
AUUGGAGUAUAUUUGAAAUGUUGCAGCAAAGUUAAUUUUGUUGCCUUAGUUUCUGUUAGUUAGUUACAACAGAGGUUAGUUAGCUACAGUAGACGGUAGUUAGCAAGUUAAUUGUAAUCAUCUUCUUGAAGCUUCUAUUUCGUUGUAUAAAUAGAGCAGCUUCUACAUCUUGUAGAUCUGAUUUUCAUAUCCAAUAAACAUGAGUUCUUCAUCUACAAUCUACAGCCUAGUCUAUUCAAUAUGGUAUCUAGAGCUUGUAUGAUUGAAAGUUCAAUUCAUCCAAAAGUUUUUCGGCAGUUUUGAAACUGCAUCAGUUUUUUUCUCCAAAAUUUAGUAUCUUUCAAUCUUCUUCUUUCUCGAUCCACGAUUCCUGUGAAAUAUUAGAUCUAGAUCUCAUGGCAAAUCAUCUCACCACCACCAUCGCCGCUGCCUCACUUCCAAAUUUGCAUCCUCUGUUCCUUCGUCUUGAUCGGAGCAACUACACCUUCUGGAGAAUACAAGUGUUAAGCACAAUUCGAGCGCAUGGUCUGGAAGAUCUUAUUGCUCCAACAGCUGCACCUCCGUCUCAACUUCUUCCUCAAGUUCAGAUCGCACCACGCACACCUCCACGCUCAAAUCCUGAAUAUCUUCUAUGGAUUCGCAAGGAUCAACAUUUGAUGAGCUGGAUGCUCACCUCCAUUGGCGAAACCAUGCUUGGUCACGUCGUUAGAUGCACUUCUGCAUCUGAUAUCUGGAAUACUUUGGAACAAUUGUUCCAAUCACAAUCACGAGCGCGCGUUCUUCAAUUGAAGAAAAUGCUUCAUUCACAGAAAAAAGGCUCUCUGUCUGUUGAUGACUACUUUCUUCGAAUGAGAAGUUAUGCUGACCAAUUAAGUGCUGCAGGUCAUCAAAUUCCCGAUGAUGAACUCGGCGAUUCUAUUCUAAAUGGUUGUGGACCGGAAUUUGAAGCAGUUGUGGUCACUCUUAUGCAUAGAUCUGAGCCUCCAUCUCUUCAGGAAAUGCAAUUUGCUCUUCAAUCUCAUGAAAUCAGAUUGCAGCAGACCUCCUAUGUGGUUGAUCCAAUGGCUCAUUAUGUUCAGAGAGGUGGUGCUAAUUCCAGGGGUCGAAGCUUGGUUGGAAGAGGAUUCCAAGCACCUGGCAAAGCUUCUGUCGUUUGUCAAUUAUGCAGUAAACCAGGUCAUGUGGCUUUGAAAUGUUAUAAGCGUUUUGAUGUUCACUUUACUGGUGCAGAUACCUCUUCUGGUUCACCUCAGGCUAAUAUCACAGAUCUCACUCAACUACCAGCGUAUGAAUUUGAUGAGGAUGCUGGUCUUUGGUAUGUUGACAGUGGUGCCACCAAUCAUAUCACAAACAAUCUGAGCAAUCUUCAGCUUCAAUCACCAUAUGAUGGGACAGAAGCUCUCACAGUAGGCAAUGGUAAGCAAAUUCCUAUAGCCUCUAUUGGUUCAAAUAUUAUACAGCCAUCUCCUUCCACUUCUCUUCUUUUUAAACAACAUUCUCUUUGUCCCUCAAAUUACAAAAAACUUGAUUAGUAUUUCUCAAUUUACAAAAGACAAUGAUGUAUUGUUUGAAUUUCAUGAUUCUUGCUGUCUUGUUAAGGACAAGAAGAGCCUCAGAACUCUGAUGGAGGGCAAGCUUCAUAAAGGAUUAUAUCAGUUAGAUCUCUCUCAGCUCUCUCAGCUUCAAAAUCGGUCAGGACCUUCUACAUCCACUUUUUCUCUUCUAGUCUANUUGACUUUUAAAUCUUGGCAAAUUGUGCAAAUCAUAUAAUAUCCUUUCGUUGUACACACAUUUAAAGUGAAUUUCCUUUACAGUGUGUCUAAAUUUUUUACAGGGAAGCUGAGACUGCGAAGAAGCCUUUGUGUAAGGGCUACAUUGGUGUCCAUGGUACUCUGCCGUGAGCACAGUGACGUCAAGCUGGCUCAGAUAUGCGGCACCAUCGCCUAUUGGAGUAUAUUUGAAAUGUUGCAGCAAAGUUAAUUUUGUUGCCUUAGUUUCUGUUAGUUAGUUACAGCAGAGGUUAGUUAGCUACAGUAGACGGUAGUUAGCAAGUUAAUUGUAAUCAUCUUCUUGAAGCUUCUAUUUCGAUGUAUAAAUAGAGCAGCUUCUACAUCUUGUAGAUCUGAUUUUCAUAUUCAAUAAACAUGAGUUCUUCGUCUACAAUCUACAGCCUAGUCUAUUCAAUAUGGUAUCUAGAGCUUGUAUGAUUGAAAGUUCAAAUCAUCCAAAAGUUUUUCGGCAGUUUUGAAACUGCAUCAGUUUNUUUUCUCCAAAAUUGAGUAUCUUUCGAUCUUCUUCUUUCUCGAUCCACGAUUCCUGUGUAAAUUUUAGAUCUAGAUCUCAUGGCAAAUCAUCUCACCACCACCAUCGCCGCUGCCUCACUUCCAAAUUUGCAUCCUCUGUUCCUUCGUCUUGAUCGGAGCAACUACACCUUCUGGAGAAUACAAGUGUUAAGCACAAUUCGAGUGCAUGGUCUGGAAGAUCUUAUUGCUCCAACAGCUGCACCGCCAUCUCAACUUCUUCCUCAAGUUCAGAUCGCACCACGCACACCUCCACGCUCAAAUCCUGAAUAUCUUCUAUGGAUUCGCAAGGAUCAACAUUUGAUGAGCUGGAUGCUCACCUCCAUUGGCGAAACCAUGCUUGGUCACGUCGUUAGAUGCACUUCUGCAUCUGAUAUCUGGAACACAUUGGAACAAUUGUUCCAAUCUCAAUCACGAGCGCGCGUUCUUCAAUUGAAGAAAAUGCUUCAUUCACAGAAAAAAGGCUCUCUGUGUGUUGAUGACUACUUU